GGGGCUGAACGGUUUCGACUGCGUACGUUGAUUCAGGGGAAGCGUGUCGGUGCAGGCAGGAGACCACCGUAUAAGCGUCGCUGUAACCCUAUAAGCGCCGAUUCCAAUCAGCGCGACUACGCUCUCGCUGCCUAAGCAACGAAGCGUGUCUGUCAGCCGGGUUCGCCCUCGACCCGGUCCCUGGCAUCAGCUAGAGGGCUCUACUGUCCGACGCGGUCGCGGCGCCGGACAGGACACCUAACAGCGACUGGGAUCGUCAUCUCGGCUUGUUCGCGUGACCGAGAGAUCCGAGCAGAGGCAUAGCGAACUGCACACGGAGAAGCCCUGAAGAUGCGGCGGAGGACCCGGGUUCGAUUCCCGGCAGCUCCACCA
rnacentral:tmRNA from 1 species